rnacentral:rRNA from 1 species
GUCUAUGGCGAUACCAUCCUGAACAUGCUUGAUCUUAUCUAUCUUGGAAGCUAAGCAGGGUCAGGCCUGGCUAGUACUUGGAUGGGAGACCACCUCGGAAUACCAGGUGCUGUAGGCU